UACGGGGGGAGCAAGCGUUGUUCGGAUUUACUGGGCGUAAAGGGCGUGUAGGCGGCCACCGCAGUCCGGUUGUGAAAUCUCCGGGCUUAACCCGGAAAGGUCAAUCGAUACUGCGGGGCUAGAGUGCAGAAGGGGCAACUGGAAUUCUCGGUGUAGCGGUGAAAUGCGUAGAUAUCGGGAAGAACACCAAAGGCGAAAGCACUUUGCUGGGCCGAAACUGACACUGAUAGACGAAAGCUAGGGGAGCAAAUGGG
rnacentral:rRNA from 1 species